rnacentral:rRNA from 1 species
GAUGAACGCUGGCGGCGUGCCUAAUACAUGCAAGUCGAGCGAACAGAUAAGGAGCUUGCUCCUUUGACGUUAGCGGCGGACGGGUGAGUAACACGUGGGUAACCUACCUAUAAGACUGGGAUAACUUCGGGAAACCGGAGCUAAUACCGGAUAAUAUUUCGAACCGCAUGGUUCGAUAGUGAAAGAUGGUUUUGCUAUCACUUAUAGAUGGACCCGCGCCGUAUUAGUUAGUUGGUAAGGUAACGGCUUACCAAGGCAACGAUACGUAGCCGACCUGAGAGGGUGAUCGGCCAAACUGGAACUGAGACACGGUCCAGACUCCUACGGGAGGCAGCAGUAGGGAAUCUUCCGCAAUGGGCGAAAGCCUGACGGAGCAACGCCGCGUGAGUGAUGAAGGUCUUCGGAUCGUAAAACUCUGUUAUUAGGGAAGAACAUACGUGUAAGUAACUAUGCACGUCUUGACGGUACCUAAUCAGAAAGCCACGGCUAACUACGUGCCAGCAGCCGCGGUAAUACGUAGGUGGCAAGCGUUAUCCGGAAUUAUUGGGUGUAAAGUGCGCGUAGGCGGUUUUUUAAGUCUGAUGUGAAAGCCCACGGCUCAACCGUGGAGGGUCAUUGGAAACUGGAAAACUUGAGUGCAGAAGAGGAAAGUGGAAUUCCAUGUGUAGCGGUGAAAUGCGCAGAGAUAUGGAGGAACACCAGUGGCGAAGGCGACUUUCUGGUCUGUAACUGACGCUGAUGUGCGAAAGCGUGGGGAUCAAACAGGAUUAGAUACCCUGGUAGUCCACGCCGUAAACGAUGAGUGCUAAGUGUUAGGGGGUUUCCGCCCCUUAGUGCUGCAGCUAACGCAUUAAGCACUCCGCCUGGGGAGUACGACCGCAAGGUUGAAACUCAAAGGAAUUGACGGGGACCCGCACAAGCGGCGGAGCAUGUGGUUUAAUUCGAAGCAACGCGAAGAACCUUACCAAAUCUUGACAUCCUUUGACCGCUCUAGAGAUAGAGUUUUCCCCUUCGGGGGACAAAGUGACAGGUGGUGCAUGGUUGUCGUCAGCUCGUGUCGUGAGAUGUUGGGUUAAGUCCCGCAACGAGCGCAACCCUUAAACUUAGUUGCCAGCAUUGAGUUGGGCACUCUAAGUUGACUGCCGGUGACAAACCGGAGGAAGGUGGGGAUGACGUCAAAUCAUCAUGCCCCUUAUGAUUUGGGCUACACACGUGCUACAAUGGACAAUACAAAGGGCAGCGAAACCGCGAGGUCAAGCAAAUCCCAUAAAGUUGUUCUCAGUUCGGAUUGUAGUCUGCAACUCGACUACAUGAAGCUGGAAUCGCUAGUAAUCGUAGAUCAGCAUGCUACGGUGAAUACGUUCCCGGGUCU